UAUACAUGCAGUCGAACGCUUGCUUUCCUCCCGAGUGCUUGCACUCAAUUGGAAAGAGGAGUGGCGGACGGGUGAGUAACACGUGGGUAACCUACCCAUCAGAGGGGGAUAACACUUGGAAACAGGUGCUAAUACCGCAUAACAGUUUAUGCCGCAUGGCAUAAGAGUGAAAGGCGCUUUCGGGUGUCGCUGAUGGAUGGACCCGCGGUGCAUUAGCUAGUUGGUGAGGUAACGGCUCACCAAGGCCACGAUGCAUAGCCGACCUGAGAGGGUGAUCGGCCACACUGGGACUGAGACACGGCCCAGACUCCUACGGGAGGCAGCAGUAGGGAAUCUUCGGCAAUGGACGAAAGUCUGACCGAGCAACGCCGCGUGAGUGAAGAAGGUUUUC
rnacentral:rRNA from 1 species